rnacentral:rRNA from 1 species
UACGUAGGGUGCAAGCGUUGUCCGGAAUUAUUGGGCGUAAAGAGCUCGUAGGCGGUCCGUCACGUCGGCUGUGAAAACUCGGGGCUCAACCCCGAGCCUGCAGUCGAUACGGGCGGACUAGAGUCCGGCAGGGGAGACUGGAAUUCCUGGUGUAGCGGUGAAAUGCGCAGAUAUCAGGAGGAACACCGGUGGUGUAAACGGCUCUCUGGACCGUAACUGACGCUGAGGCACGAAAGCGUGGGUAGCAAACAGG